CGGGCGGACGGGUGAGUAACGCGUGGGUAACCUGCCUCAUACAGGGGGAUAACAGUUAGAAAUGGCUGCUAAUACCGCAUAAGACCACAGUACUGCAUGGUACAGUGGUAAAAACUCCGGUGGUAUGAGAUGGACCCGCGUCUGAUUAGGUAGUUGGUGAGGUAACGGCCCACCAAGCCGACGAUCAGUAGCCGACCUGAGAGGGUGACCGGCCACAUUGGGACUGAGACACGGCCCAG
rnacentral:rRNA from 1 species